AUAUUGCACAAUGGAGGGAACUCUGAUGCAGCGACGCCGCGUGAGUGAUGAAGGCUUUCGAGUCGUAAAACUCUGUCCUUGGGGACGAUAAUGACGGUACCCAAGGAGGAAGCCCCGGCUAACUACGUGCCAGCAGCCGCGGUAAUACGUAGGGGGCAAGCGUUGUCCGGAAUUAUUGGGCGUAAAGGGUGCGUAGGCGGCCUUUUAAGUCAGAUGUGAAAGACCACGGCUUAACCGUGGGGUUGCAUUUGAAACUGGAAGGCUUGAGUAUCGGAGAGGGUAGUGGAAUUCCCAGUGUAGCGGUGAAAUGCGUAGAUAUUAGGAGGAACACCAGUGGCGAAGGCGACUCUCUGGACUGCAACUGACGCUGAGGCACGAAAGCGUGGGGAGCGAACA
rnacentral:rRNA from 1 species